GAUGAACGCUGGCGGCGUGCCUAAUACAUGCAAGUCGAGCGAACGGACGAGAAGCUUGCUUCUCUGAUGUUAGCGGCGGACGGGUGAGUAACACGUGGAUAACCUACCUAUAAGACGGGGAAAACUUCGGGAAACCGGAGCUAAUACCGGAGAAUAUUUUGAACCGCAUGGGUCAAAAGUGAAAGACGGUCUUGCUGUCACUUAUAGAUGGAUCCGCGCUGCAUUAGCUAGUUGGUAAGGUAACGGCUUACCAAGGCAACGAUGCAUAGCCGACCUGAGAGGGUGAUCGGCCACACUGGAACUGAGACACGGUCCAGACUCCUACGGGAGGCAGCAGUAGGGAAUCUUCCGCAAUGGGCGAAAGCCUGACGGAGCAACGGCGCGUGAGUGAUGAAGGUCUUCGGAUCGUAAAACUCUGUUAUUAGGGAAGAACAUAUGUGUAAGGAACUGUGCACAGCUUGACGGUACCUAAUCAGAAAGCCACGGCUAACUACGUG
rnacentral:rRNA from 1 species